rnacentral:rRNA from 1 species
CCCUUAGAUGUCCUGGGCUGCACGCGCGCUACACUGAUGUGUUCAAUAAGCACCUAACCUACUCCGAAGGGACUGGGUAACCUUUGCAAAGCACAUCGUGAUGGGGAUAGAUUAUUGCAAUUAUUAGUCUUGAACGAGGAAUUCCUAGUAAGCGCAAGUCAUCAGCUUGUGUUGAUUACGUCCCUGCCCUUUGUACACACCGCCCGUCGCUCCUACCGAUUGAGUGAUUCGGUGAAUACUUCGGAGUGUGAACUCUACAGUUUCUGUUUUGUUCGCGCAAAGUUGAAUAAACCUUAUCACUUAGAGGAAGGAGAAGUCGUAACA